rnacentral:rRNA from 1 species
GUGCCAGCCGCCGCGGUAAUACCGGCAGCACGAGUGAUGGCCGAUAUUAUUGGGCCUAAAGCGUCCGUAGCCGGCCAGACAAGUCCGUUGGGAAAUCGACGCGCCCAACGGGUGGGCGUCCGACGGAAACUGCACAGCUUGGGACCGGAAGGCUCGAAGGGUACGUUCGGGGUAGGAGUGAAAUCCCAUAAUCCCGCACGGACCACCGAUGGCGAAAGCACUUCGAGAAAACGGAUCCGACAGUGAGGGACGAAAGCCAGGGUCUCCAACCGGAUUAGAUACCCUUGUAGUCC